AUGAACGCUGGCGGCGUGCCUAAUACAUGCAAGUCGAGCGAACAGACGAGGAGCUUGCUCCUCUGACGUUAGCGGCGGACGGGUGAGUAACACGUGGAUAACCUACCUAUAAGACUGGGAUAACUUCGGGAAACCGGAGCUAAUACCGGAUAAUAUAUUGAACCGCAUGGUUCAAUAGUGAAAGACGGUUUUGCUGUCACUUAUUGAUGGAUCCGCGCCGCAUUAGCUAGUUGGUAAGGUAACGGCUUACCAAGGCAACGAUGCGUAGCCGACCUGAGAGGGUGAUCGGCCACACUGGAACUGAGACACGGUCCAGACUCCUACGGGAGGCAGCAGUAGGGAAUCUUCCGCAAUGGGCGAAAGCCUGACGGAGCAACGCCGCGUGAGUGAUGAAGGUCUUCGGAUCGUAAAACUCUGUUAUUAGGGAAGAACAAAUGUGUAAGUAACUAUGCACGUCUUGACGGUACCUAAUCAGAAAGCCACGGCUAACUACGUG
rnacentral:rRNA from 1 species